UUAACUCAAUUUAUGGUUUAGUCCAAUUUUCGAGUUGAUUUUGUACAACGCUUAACCAACGAGAGAGAUGAGAGGAGUGGGAGGGCCGUUGUUAUGCAUCGGCGAUCUGCUGAGUGACGUUGGAGAAAGCGAUGCCGGCGGUGAUCAACUUCCGUCGCACCCAAUCAAUACACCUCCACCGGAUUUCAACUCCAGCCUCCAACCCUCCGAUCUAAACAAGCUCUUUCAGGAAAAGUAUGAGCAGCUGAACAAGGCACUUGCUGGCACAGAUCAUUCAUGGACGCAUCUCACACUGGAGCUAUGCACUGCACUGGAGACUGCAAACAAGUUGGUUCACUCGACCAAUUCUAAUGUUGGCAUGUUGAAAGAUAAGGUUGAGGAGCUUUGGGAAGUCAUUAAUAGAAGAGACGCAACUAUUGAAGCGGCAAAAGCCUUUGAAGGCUCUCCAAAACAACCUGAGAGCAGUUAGUGAGGAUGUCUGAUCAAUUACCAAGUUGAAGGUCAGCAGUCUUGCUUUGCACUGGACUUAUCACUUCUAGCUUUUACAAGGACAUUUUUAGCCUGUUCUUGCUGUAAAUAUGCAUGAAUUAAAGAUAUUGGUACUGGCAAUACUUAAGCUGCAUUUGCUGCACCUGCUUCCCAUUCGUCCCUUGCCAAAGCUUACAUUUUAUUUUGUUACUUAUGAAGUCAUUUCACUAUGUACGCCUUGGUACUUCUGUAAUCCUUGUUCUGACUAUGUGUAGUGUAGGUUUGUCUUAUGCUGAAGCAGUGAUAGAUCUCAUAGAAUCCCGUUAUGAUAGAAAG
rnacentral:misc_RNA from 1 species